GGUCUGGCUGGCGGGUCCGCCUCACCGCGUGCACUUGUCCGGCCGGGCCUUUCCUUCUGGAGAACCUCAUGCCCUUCACUGGGCGUGUUGGGGAACCAGGACUUUUACUUUGAAAAAAUUAGAGUGUUCAAAGCAGGCAAUCGAGCCUUGAAUACUUCAGCAUGGGAUAAUGGAACAGGA
rnacentral:rRNA from 1 species